rnacentral:rRNA from 1 species
CGUCUAGGCGGCCCGCUAAGUCGGAUGUGAAAGCCCUGGGCUUAACCGAGGAAGUGCAUCCGAAACUGGCGAGCUUGAGUACCGGAGGGGGCAGCGGAAUUCCCGGUGUAGAGGUGAAAUUCGUAGAUAUCGGGAGGAACACCAGUGGCGAAGGCGGCUGUCUGGCCGGAUACUGACGCUAAAGCGCGAAAGCGUGGGGAGCAAACA